CUCCAACGAGCGCAACCCUGACGCAGCCAUGCCGCGUGAAUGAAGAAGGCCUUCGGGUUGUAAAGUUCUUUCGGUAGCGAGGAAGGCAUUUAGUUUAAUAGACUAGGUGAUUGACGUUAACUACAGAAGAAGCACCGGCUAACUCCGUGCCAGCAGCCGCGGUAAUACGGAGGGUGCGAGCGUUAAUCGGAAUAACUGGGCGUAAAGGGCACGCAGGCGGUGACUUAAGUGAGGUGUGAAAGCCCCGGGCUUAACCUGGGAAUUGCAUUUCAUACUGGGUCGCUAGAGUACUUUAGGGAGGGGUAGAAUUCCACGUGUAGCGGUGAAAUGCGUAGAGAUGUGGAGGAAUACCGAAGGCGAAGGCAGCCCCUUGGGAAUGUACUGACGCUCAUGUGCGAAA
rnacentral:rRNA from 1 species